GAGAAGACUGCUACCAUGUUCUUCAGGAGGAUUACAAUGACUUUCUGAGGAUUAAAAUGACCUUCUAACAGGCAUUGCAUCACAGGAAUUCAAGUUUAUUGCAUAAUUAAUCAAAAUCAAGUUAAAUGGAAUCUUUAUCCAAUUUUUAAUUUCUUCAUAUAUUAAUGUACCUUGCCCUAGUCCAGAAAACCUCUUGGACUUUCCCCCUUUCUGGCCAAGAUGAGCAUCUGCAACUCAUCCCUACACAGAACAGUUCACAAAGACAGACUGCCACAUGACCCAUGCUUUAUUCCCAUCUUUCCUCUCCUACCAUCCCUCACCCAGUGCUCUCUUCCUCCUACCCUCCCUUCCUUUCUCUCUUUGAUCUUCUCCUCUGUGUCUCGCAUUCUGCUCCCUCACAAAGGUCCUGUUUCUACCCAUCUCUUCUUCCUGAAGGAGCACCAUCUUUGUCCCAGUUUCAACGAUGUCCUCCAACAGGUCACUCUGGUUUGGAGUUCUGAGUUGACAUUAAAGUUUUGAUGCUGAGGUAGAAGAAACUCCCACACAGGGACCAGGCUGUGGUCAUGGAAAAGGCACUAUGGCCAAGUCAGGAAGCAUCAUUUCAUUUCCCUUGGAGAGGAAUGGAAAGAAGGUUGUAGCAUGGAGUCGUGCUUCCUUUACCAAAAGUCCCUAUGUACACCUCUGUAGGAGUUGUCACAAAUAGGCUUACAUUUGUUUAUAGAUUAUUUUUUAAGCCUUUGAAUAUCUUAUAUAAAUUCAUGUGAAAGGUUACAAAUGAACAAACAACAAAAUAAUGAUAGUCAUGCAAGAGAUCCUUUGCGGUGAUGAAGAAGAGAGAAGAGAUGGCAUUGCUGAGCUGGGAAGAGGAGUUACUUAGUGGACUCCUACAGAAUGGGGGUGAGGCUGGCAGUAGUGCUAUUCCGCCCUAGCCUCUGCUCCUUUGCUGCACCCGAUUCCCUCAACCCACUUCACUCUGAGGGGGGUCCUUAGAAAUACUUGACCUUGCAGGCAGAACCCUGAGACAGGAAACUGGGGAAAAUCAUAGCCCUUGUCCCUGAGGUAUUUCUAAUAUCACUAAUAGAUGGAUCAAAGGAUUCCCUCCAUGCCCCCAAAUUAUUAAACACAUAAAAAUAGCAUCUUCUCUCAUCUUUGUUUUUUAGCAACAUAAACAAUGAUGCUAUUUUUUCCUGAGUUAUCUAAACUCCAAGAAUCAAGUGAUCUAUAGUUUAGAUACAGAGGUUCUUUAUUAUCGAAGAGUUGUUUUUAAUUCAAGUUAUUAUUUUCACUUUAAUUUGGGGGUUAUAUGUAUAAAACCAGAAAUACAUAUUUUAAAAUCUUAAUGGAAUAAUUAGUCACACAAGUCACUGAGAUAUUUGGUGAAAAUAUACUGUAUUCUGAGCAGGAUAAUCUUCCUUUAUUGCAGAUGGAGGAAAAGUUGUAAAGUCUUGGGAAAGAAAAUGGUUUUGGUGAACAGCUCCUGGGUAUGUGGGCCAAUCACAGCCAAUUAGAGGCUAUUCAUUAAGGGCCCAAAAGUGUUGCCUGGGUAGCAGAUUAAUAAUGGCACAGACCUCUUUCAGGUUUCAUGACAGGGCCUAUUCUUUGCCAAAUGUAUCACAUUUGAGAGUCUGUAGCCUGUUAAGUGUAUUCACUAGGGGAAAAAAAAAUUAUAAUUUCCUGAGUUUUAGGAAUUAUCUUUAUGAAAUUCCCCAUAUUUCCACAAAACUCCAAUUUCUCAAUAACUUUACAGAAAACAGUGCAAAUUCACUAACUAGUAACUCAUUAGAAAAAUCUAGUAUUUGUUGUACGAGCAAAUGAUGUGGUAAAUCAAAGUGCUGCUCACACUUAAAGCCAUAAUUUAUAUUUUUCUACUUUCUGAGUUUCUCUCUUCUCAUGUGUCCUAUUUCCCCUUUUGACUAAAAUAAAAGAGCAAUUUGAGAUAACUUGAGGAGAGAAUCUGCAGUUUAACUGGAUUCUCUGCUCUAAAUUUUCCUUUCUUUUUGGUUUUCUCCCUCAUCUCUUCCCUCCCUGGUUUCCUCCGUUAUAGCUGCAUCCUCAUCACCAUCAAAUAGCCCCUGUCGUUACCCCAUGUAACCUGCAGGAGCAGAAUUCUGGGCACCAGAGGCAGGGCCACCAAAGUAUAACAUACCUUCUGUGCCCUCCAGGAGCUGGCAGCCUAAUCAAGGAGGCAAAACACAUACAUAUAGGUACACACAUCUUUCCUGCCCUCAUUCUUUCACCCUCCAAAUACCUACUGAGCACCUCCUACACGUCAUACUCUGUGUUAGGUGAUUUUAAAAAAAGAAGAUCACCCUAGCAACAAUGACCAAAGUAGCUAACACAGCAAAAUACAAUAAUCACCAAAUGUCUCACAGUCCAAAAGUGUUAUGGAAGACCAGAAGAAAAGAGAUUUAAAAUUGAAGGAAGGGAUCACAGACUCUAAACAGAAGAGACAGAGUGGCAAACUAUAGGAUGAGGAUGAGCAUCAUCAAUUACCCCAACCUGUGAGAGUAACAUCAGAAAGAGCUGUCCCUCUUAAGACCCUCAUCAGUGAUCUUUAGGACAUAUAGCCCAGUAUGUGGGGCUAAAACCUGGGGUGACUGGAGAGUUAAUAUUGAAAUCUGCUCUAUAUAAAUAAAAAUAAAUUUGAAAUUGGGGCUCUAUGUUCCUUCUCUACCAUAACUCAUAUUUUGGGGGUUGAUCUGGAGUUGGGGAUAAAGAACUAGAAUUCGAAGACCUGAGCUUAAGCCCUAUUUCUGUUUAUUUACAUGGCAUUAAGGAUGAUUAGAAAUUCCAAAUUGCACUGUAGAUGGUUAACUAUUAUUUGUCCCUAAAAUGCUAAGUGAUUCUGCUAAAUUUCAUUUGUCCUUAAAAAAUGGUAUUUAUUAGUCUUUGAAAAAAAGAAUUAUUGAGAGAGGAGGUAACAUCAUUUUUAGGAGUCUCUGUAGUACAACAAAACUAAAGAGUUUGUAUUUACAGUAAUUACUAGAAAAAGGAAAAGGAAUUCCAAAUAUGAAUGUAUUUUAUGACAUUUUUCUUUCUCCCUCAUAGGUGGAAGACCAAGUGAAAUGACACAUUCGUAACUAUCACCAGAAAACACCCCCCACACACAUAUACGUUCAUCAGAUACUAGAAUUCUUGAAAGACAAAUCGUUGUUGUUGUUAUUUUAAUUCUAACUCAGCCUCAUUCCAAUAUUUUUUAAAGAGUCCUUAUGCAGUUUUCGAGCUAAUUAUUUACCAAGUAGAAAUUGGAAAGGAUUCAGUCUGGACAAAGUCCAUUUUAAUGUAAUUGUUCUGGUGUUUAGUGCAUCCUAGUAUUUGUCAUCUGUUGCUCUUGCUUUGCAUUCAAAGGGUUUUGGAUAUGAUGCCC
rnacentral:lncRNA from 1 species